UACGUAGGAGGCAAGCGUUGUCCGGAUUUACUGGGCGUAAAGGGAGCGCAGGUGGCCGCGUUCGUCGGUGGUGCAAGCUCCAGGCUUAACCUGGGGAGGUCUGCCGAUACUGCUUGGCUUGAGGACGGUAGAGGAGCACGGAAUUCCUGGUGUAGUGGUGAAAUGCGUAGAUAUCAGGAGGAACACCAGUGGCGAAGGCGGCCCUCUGGCCCAUUCCUGACACUCAGACGCGAAAGCUAGGGUAGCAAACGGG
rnacentral:misc_RNA from 1 species